rnacentral:snoRNA from 1 species
CUGUGUUAAUAAUAGGGGGAUUCCGCUAAGGUUUUCACUACAGAUGCAAGAAAAAGAAGUCCUCGCGCUUCCUGUCUGUCUGGUUGUGGCAGCCAAGAUUGAAUGGGGAAAUACAGGA